GUGCCAGCCGCCGCGGUAAUACCGGCAGCUCGAGUGAUGGCCAAUCUUAUUGGGCCUAAAGCGUCCGUAGCUGGCCGCGCAAGUCCAUCGGGAAAUCCACCUGCUCAACAGGUGGGCGCCCGGUGGAAACUGUGCGGCUUGGGACCGGAAGGCGCGACGGGUACGUCCGGGGUAGGAGUGAAAUCCCGUAAUCCUGGACGGACCGCCGAUGGCGAAAGCACGUCGCGAAGACGGAUCCGACAGUGAGGGACGAAAGCUAGGGUCUCGAACCGGAUUAGAAACCCGAGUAGUCC
rnacentral:rRNA from 1 species